rnacentral:rRNA from 1 species
UACGUAGGGUGCGAGCGUUGUCCGGAAUUAUUGGGCGUAAAGGGCUCGUAGGCGGUUUGUCGCGUCGGGAGUGAAAUCCACUGGCUUAACUGGUGGCUUGCUUUCGAUACGGGCAGACUGGAGGUAUGCAGGGGAGACUGGAAUUCCUGGUGUAGCGGUCGAAAUGCGCAGAUAUCAGGAGGAACACCGGUGGCGAAGGCGGGUCUCUGGGCCGAUACUGACGCUGAGGAGCGAAAGCAUGGGUAGCGAACAGG